AUCAGGAAUAGGAGUAUAUUGAACUCCUAGUACUGCAUCAGGAUAGUCGGUAAAUAGCUCAUUUCAUCGAGGACUACAAUUGGAUUGGCAUCCUCAAAAUAUGUGGUGAGCCCUCUAAUAAGGGUAAAGAGAUUAUGUCCGAAG